UACGUAGGGGGCAAGCGUUGUCCGGAAUCAUUGGGCGUAAAGAGCGCGUAGGCGGCCCAGCAAGUCCGCUCUGAAAGUCAGGGGCUCAACCCCUGAAUGCGGGUGGAUACUACUGGGCGUAGAGUCCGGAAGAGGCGAGUGGAAUUCCUGGUGUAGCGGUGAAAUGCGCAGAUAUCAGGAGGAACACCGAUGGCGAAGGCAGCUCGCUGGGACGGUACUGACGCUGAGGCGCGAAAGCGU
rnacentral:rRNA from 1 species